rnacentral:lncRNA from 1 species
AGCAAAUCUACCCAUGUAAAAGUAUUUCCAGAUGGUUGUGUUCUCUGUUGCAAGUUCCUAUUUCUGCUUCCUAGACAACACGGCUGUCAGGACAGAACGGAACAUGCAGGACAAUGAAAUUGCUGACCAUCCAGCAGAUUGCUGAACUUCAGGAUAUAAAACGAAGAUUCCUCUUUGGCCGCUGUUACUGGACCAGUGAGCCUGUACAUCAGUCGGUAUCCCUGCUUCCUUCUCCCGGAGCCCUAGUGCUCUAAGUAGAUGUCACCGAUCGUCCUAAAAUCAUCCACCCCAGUGCAGAGCCAGGGCACAGACAAAGCCACAUGGUUUUCACCUUCGGUUCUCUCCCACUGCUGAACCUUUGACUGCCCAGACCAGAU